rnacentral:rRNA from 1 species
UACGUAGGGGCCAAGCGUUGUCCGGAUUUAUUGGGCGUAAAGAGCUCGUAGGCGGUUCGGCAAGUCAGCUGUGAAAUCUCCACGCUCAACGUGGAGGGGUCAGCUGAUACUGCUGUGACUCGAGUCCGGUAGGGGAGUGUGGAAUUCCGUGGUGUAGCGGUGAAAUGCGCAGAUAUCAGGAGGAACACCCAGUGCGAAGGCAGGCUCGCUGGGGACCGUUAACUGACGCUGAGGACGACGAAGCGUGGGGAGCAAACAGG